UACGAAGGGGGCUAGCGUUGCUCGGAAUCACUGGGCGUAAAGGGUGCGUAGGCGGGUCUUUAAGUCAGGGGUGAAAUCCUGGAGCUCAACUCCAGAACUGCCUUUGAUACUGAGGAUCUUGAGUACGGGAGAGGUGAGUGGAACUGCGAGUGUAGAGGUGAAAUUCGUGGAUAUUCGCAAGAACACCAGUGGCGAAGGCGGCUCACUGGCCCGAUACUGACGCUGAGGCACGAAAGCGUGGGGAGCAAACAGG
rnacentral:rRNA from 1 species